GGAAUAUAAUGGAUGAUUGCUUCUAGUGCUAGUCAAAACUAGAGGAGCGCCUCCCAGGAUCCUCUCGCCUGCGGGCACCGAGCUGCCGUCUCUGGGACAAGAUGAAGCUGGUUUUCUGGCAUCGGUUUUUUCUAUUAUUCGUGUUAGUUUCAACAUCACAGGGUAUGAGUUCAGAUGGCCUAGCUCUUCUUGCUCUGUCCAAAACCCUAAUACUACCAAGUUUCAUAAGAACCAACUGGAGUGGUUCUGAUGCAACUCCUUGUACAUGGAACGGUGUUGGCUGCAAUGGAAGGAACAGAGUGAUUUCUCUCGACCUAUCGUCAUCAGAGGUUUCAGGUUUUAUAGGACCUGAAAUAGGGCGUCUGAAAUACAUGCAGGUUCUCAUUUUAUCUGCUAACAACAUAUCUGGUUUGAUCCCUCUAGAAUUGGGCAACUGCAGUAUGCUUGAACAAUUGGAUUUGUCCCAAAACUUGCUUUCUGGCAACAUACCAGCAUCAAUGGGCAGCCUCAAGAAAUUAUCAUCACUGUCGCUCUACUACAAUUCUUUCAAUGGAACAAUACCAGAGGAGUUGUUCAAGAACCAGUUUCUGGAGCAAGUGUACCUACAUGGCAAUCAGCUCAGUGGUUCGAUACCCCCUUCUCGGUUGGUGAAAUGACAAGCCUUAAGUCAUUGUGGUUGCACGAAAAUAUGUUGUCUGGAGUUUUGCCCAGUUCAAUUGGCAACUGCACCAAGUUGGAGGAGCUGUAUCUACUCAAUAAUCAACUGAGUGGCAGUAUUCCAGAGUCCUUGAGUAAGAUCGAAGGCCUCAAGGUUUUUGAUGCCACUGCCAAUAGUUUCACGGGCGAGAUCUCUUUCAGUUUUGAGAACUGCAAGCUGGAAAUAUUCAUUUUGUCAUUCAAUAAUAUAAAGGGUGAAAUUCCCUCAUGGCUAGGGAAUUGCAGGAGCUUGCAACAACUUGGAUUUGUCAAUAAUAGUCUGUCUGGCAAAAUUCCAAAUUUUAUAGGCUUAUCCAGCAACCUCACAUAUCUUUUACUUUCACAGAACUCCCUGACUGGGCUGAUCCCACCUGAGAUUGGUAACUGUCGGUUGCUGCAGUGGCUAGAGCUAGAUGCAAACCAGCUGGAGGGCACUGUUCCUGAAGAAUUUGCAAAUUUACGGAAUUUGUCAAAGCUCUUUCUUUUCGAGAAUCACCUCAUGGGACUCUUCCCUGAGAGUAUUUGGAGUAUCCAAACCCUCGAGAGUGUCCUUCUUUAUCGCAACAAAUUCACAGGGAGGCUACCUUCAGUGUUAGCUGAGCUGAAGUCCCUAAAGAACAUCACACUGUUUGAUAAUUUCUUCACUGGAGUCAUACCACAGGAGCUGGGUGUUAAUAGCCCCUUGGUCCAGAUAGAUUUCACAAAUAACAGUUUUGUUGGUGGUAUCCCACCAAACAUUUGUUCAGGAAAAGCAUUGAGAAUUUUGGACUUGGGGUUUAAUCAUCUCAACGGUAGCAUCCCAUCCAGUGUUCUGGACUGCCCAAGUUUGGAACGGUUAAUUCUCAGAGAUAACAAUCUUAGUGGAUCAAUUAUGUGAUCCAUAAGAUUUGGAAAUGCAUCUACAGGUUACCUUUUUAUGAAACGGGAGAGGUCUAGUUGUUUUGUUUGGCCAGGCAUCUAUAGGUUGGGCCAUGCAUAAAAAACACUCAAAUUAGUGG